AGCUCUGCAAAAUGCUCCAGGCUCAUCUCGAAUUUUUUUUUGUUUCAGUCCUGGAAUCAACAACUUCAACUAAAGAGCCUUGGUUCCGUUUUUGUUUUAGGUGUUUUUUAUUUUUGUUUUUUUGAGAAUAGUAUUUAGAAGCCAAGUCAUGGAUGAUAAUUGUGCUCAUUGAUACUGGGCUGUCAUUGCUGCUUCUAGCUUCCCUCAGUGGAUAUAACUGAGAGUAUAUAUAUCCAUAUAACACAAGCAUACACACAUCUGUAUUUAUGCCCCUAUCUGUUUUUCAGUACGUAUAUUAAAAUGAAGUUAUAAGUCCGCAUUGAUACCUUCAACUCCAAUCCACCACAGAAUUUUUCUAGCCUUCUCCCUUUCCCUUACUUGUAAGUUCUUUCUCUGACAGCGAGACCCUUAAUUCUCAUUAUCUACAAUAUAUUUAUUUGUUCAACCAUAUACCACAAAGUAGUUGCAGAAUUCCUAACCUAUGGGACUUUCCUUUUAUUUUAAAAUCUACAAAGAUUCUUUUUCUAAAUCUAUUGUUUUCAUCUUUCUGUCUCUGGCAAGAUUAUUUUUAAAUUAUAAUCUCUAAGCAUUGAUCAUUUCCUUCUGCACCUCAUUUUGUAAUAUUUGUUUUUGCUCCUCUGUCCUGCUUUUCUGUGUGCCUUGCUGUAUCCCACUCUAACCCUAUUUGAAAAUGCUUAUAAAAGCUUUCACUUUGUGUCUGCAGUGUGUGUGGUUGUUCUUUGCUCCUUCUCAUGAAUAGUGCUUCCUGGAAAUUCUUUUGUUGUGUUUUUCUGAUCAUAAGUCAUUACUUUCUUUCCCUUCCAAAACUGGGUUCCUUGCUUUCUUAUCCAGCCUUUCCCUGCAUGUCCCCUAUUUCUUCUCAGAAGGAGGUGUGAUGCAGACACACGACUUGUCUCAAAACCCAUGAUGAUGUUUCUAGGGGACCUUCUCCACUUCCAAACAAUGUCGGAUUCUGGCCAGAUGACCAGGAUCCAAGCCAGAUGACCUUGGGAAUGUUAGCGAACCUAGCUGCCCGUCUCUCCUACAGCUGGGCGUGGCCAAGCACAGAGUCCUAUUGGAUUGCAGGGGAGUGUGAGGCAGUGAGAAUGCCUCCCUUCUGGAUCCUGAGCCCUGAGAGGGCAGGUCACAGUCUCCAUCCCUGCAUCCACACAAAGGUCGGCACAGCACGUCGGUGUGCUUGGGAAAUAGUUAUUGAGUAUACGAUGUAGAAGAGGCCUCAACACAUACUUUGCCUAUUUUAAUCCUGAAAUUGGUCCCAGAUGACAGAGACCCAGACAAGUGGACCCUUAUGCUGGCUCUUUCCAUAGCUCCUCUAAAUACUCUGGAACUUCAGAAUGGCCCAGAAGAAACCCCAGCCAGAGGGGUGCUACGGUCUUCAUCAACUGGUCAAUCCAACAGAGGCUGUUGAAGUUGGCAGGGAUGGAGGGAGGGAAGAAGCUCGACUUGCUCACUUACCGUCUUCUGCCUUGUAAUAAAGCAUAU